rnacentral:rRNA from 1 species
UACGUAGGGUGCAAGCGUUAAUCGGAAUUACUGGGCGUAAAGCGUGCGCAGGCGGCUUUGCAAGACAGAUGUGAAAUCCCCGGGCUCAACCUGGGAACUGCAUUUGUGACUGCAUGGCUGGAGUGCGGCAGAGGGGGAUGGAAUUCCGCGUGUAGCAGUGAAAUGCGUAGAUAUGCGGAGGAACACCGAUGGCGAAGGCAGUCCCCUGGGCCUGCACUGACGCUCAUGCACGAAAGCGUGGGGAGCAAACAGG